rnacentral:lncRNA from 1 species
CUGAUGUAUUGUUCAAGAAAAUAUAAAAUGAUAAAGGAAAACCUGUCAUUAUUAUCAAAGAGCACACAUUUCAUCAGUCAUUUGUUAGAAAAUAGAGAAAUAAGAUUGAGAUGAACAGCUAGGUCCUUUGUUAGAAAAUAGAGAAAUAAGAUGGAGAUGAACAGCUAGGUCCUUUGUUAGAAAAUAGAAAAAUAAGAUGGAAAUUAACAGC